UCCAGACUCCUACGGGAGGCAGCAGUGGGGGAUAUUGCACAAUGGGGGAAACCCUGAUGCAGCGACGCCGCGUGAGUGAAGAAGUAUUUCGGUAUGUAAAGCUCUAUCAGCAGGGACGAAAAUGACGGUACCUGAGUAAGAAGCCCCGGCUAACUACGUGCCAGCAGCCGCGGUAAUACGUAGGGGGCAAGCGUUAUCCGGAUUUACUGGGUGUAAAGGGAGCGUAGACGGCAGCGCAAGUCUGGAGUGAAAUGCCGGGGCCCAACCCCGGAACUGCUCUGGAAACUGUGAAGCUGGAGUGCAGGAGAGGUAAGCGGAAUUCCUGGUGUAGCGGUGAAAUGCGUAGAUAUCAGGAGGAACACCGGUGGCGAAGGCGGCCUGCUGGACGACAACUGACGCUGAGGCUCGAAAGCGUGGGGAGCAAACAGGAUUAGAUACCCCCGUA
rnacentral:rRNA from 1 species